rnacentral:rRNA from 1 species
UACGAAGGGGCUAGCGUUGUUCGGAAUCACUGGGCGUAAAGCGCACGUAGGCGGAUCUUUAAGUCAGAGGUGAAAUCCCAAGGCUCAACCUUGGAACUGCCUUUGAUACUGGAGAUCUUGAGUCCGGGAGAGGUGAGUGGAACUGGCGAGUGUAGAGGUGAAAUUCGUAGAAUUAUUCGCAAGAACACCAGUGGCGAAAGGCGGCCUCAGCUGGCCCGGUACUGACGUGC